rnacentral:tRNA from 1 species
GCCCGAGUAGUUCAACGGCAGAACGGAUCCAUGGUAAGGAUCAGACAGGAGUUCAAUUCUCCUCUCGGGCU